UGCCCCACACUGUCCCCUUCCCCCUCUGCAGUCCUCCAGCCUGCUGGAGAAAGGCCUGAAGGUGCCGCUUCCACGGGGCUGGGCAGGAGCAGAGAGGAUUUCUUCCCGGUCCUGCAGAGACGGCGGCUGCCCAGGACCUGUGUGACACCCCCGGGGACAGGCUGGACGCUUUCGUGAAGCACAGCCUUCAGCCCCAGGGGGACUGGAAGGACGAAGUGAAGGAUGCCUGGCAGAGGAUUGAGCAGUUCUUGAGGGAUCAGUGCUUCCGUGAUGAGCUGAUCCUGGACCAGGAGGUCAGGGCGCUGAAGGUGGUCAAGACAGGUGGAGACGUGGAACUGCCCAGCAGGCACUGGAAGGGAAUGUUCUGGGACAAACCACCAACGUUUCUAGCCAGGUGAGGAAACUGAAAUUCAGGAAAGCCAAGGGUGGUGGUGAUCAAGAUCACGCAGCUAGCGAGUAACAAAGCUGAAAUGCAAUCUCGUGUAUGUCUGACCAGAGGCCAACCUCAACCACUACGUCGUCGUGCUGCCUCCAGUAGAGGAAAAUGGGAGUCUCAGGACCACCUCCCAACUCCCUGUGCAAAAGGAAAGGCCAAGACCGGAGGCUGAGCCAUGCAACACCCCCUUUAGAAUGAGUAACUGUUACUAACAUCAUGCAUUAGCCAGAUUCCCCAAAGAAAGCUAGAAGGCCUCAGGUAUCCUUGGGGACUACCCCCACAGAUCAUGCAUAAGGAAAUUCUUUGCCGGCCUCCCAUUCACAAGGAACGUGCACAAGCACAGCUUUAGGUCUGCAGUCUAAAUCUAGCUCCCAGAACCAAAGUCUGUUCAACUCCACACUGCUGAUGGCGACUCCAAGCUUGUCUUCCCAGGUGCAGGACAGAGACAGGAUGAGAUCAGUCAUUCCUCGGCAUACCCAGGGACAUCUGCAUAAUUGAUUCUUCC